rnacentral:rRNA from 1 species
CCUACGGGAGGCAGCAGUCGAGAAUCAUUCACAAUGGGGGAAACCCUGAUGGUGCGACGCCGCGUGGGGGAAUGAAGGUCUUCGGAUUGUAAACCCCUGUCAUGUGGGAGCAAAUUAAAAAGAUAGUACCACAAUAGGAAGAGACGGCUAACUCUGUGCCAGCAGCCGCGGUAAUACAGAGGUCUCAAGCGUUGUUCGGAAUCACUGGGCGUAAAGCGUGCGUAGGCUGUUUCGUAAGUCGUGUGUGAAAGGCGCGGGCUCAACCCGCGGACGGCACAUGAUACUGCGAGACUAGAGUAAGGGAGGGGGAACCGGAAUUCUCGGUGUAGCAGUGAAAUGCGUAGAUAUCGAGAGGAACACUCGUGGCGAAGGCGGGUUCCUGGACAGUAACUGACGCUGAGGCACGAAGGCCAGGGGAGCGAAAGGGAUUAGAUACCCGAGUAGUC